AAUAUCCUGAGAGAGACACAGAGACAAGCUAUCACUCAGUGAGGUCAGAAAUCAUCCCUGCAGAGCCCGCCACAGCAGAAGAGCAAAGGAGGAUUUUGCUGCUCUUCUUUGGGGUCAGUGAUUUAUCCGAGGACUUCAUGGGAGAAAUCAAGACUUUCAUUUUCUUCCUUUUUUUUUGUUUUUUGUUUUUGUUUCUAACUUUAAGCUGCUGGAACCAAAAAUAUCGUCCACAACAGACUGGAUAUUGAAACAAGAACUUUAAAGAUGCUCACCACACCCUAUUUGGGAAGCACUCUCCUAGCGUGCUGCAGUCUGGAGAUACCAGCCCAGGCAGAGGAAGAAGGCAGGCCGGCCGCUGACACGCUGCCUGGGCACCCAGCUCCCGGGGCUCCAAGGUGGGUUCCUGCCUCUGAAACACUGGUUAGGAAGCUGCCUCAGGAGCCCAGGACGGAGGCUUCAGACCUCUAGGCAGGCCUGGCCCCAUCUUCCUAAAGCCUGGUUCAUCCUCAGCUCAAAGUAAGAUCCAUGUCCUUAAUUGUCAGAGACCACCCCUUUAAACUUUCUUUGCAUUUCUUACAGAAUCUAGCCAUAGGCUCCAUCUUUAGGGCCAGGAUUCCCUACAAGCCCAAGGACUGGGGUCAUUUGGCCAACUUCUCAAUCUGGUUGAGACUGAGUCACCCUCUCAUCUCAAAUCCUUUCACGGACUUGAUAGAAAGGACUUGCAAAGUCUAAUAGUGUUACUAUCACUUUAAAAAAGACAAAAAAGUAAUUCUUUACAUAAACAGUUCACAGUAAAAGAGAAUAUAAAUGGCUCUUAAUCAUAUAACAAUGAUCCUUAACUUCAGCCCCCCAAAAGAGGAAUAACAUAAAAUAAAAUUACUGUAAGAUACCAUUUUUUAGUUAUCAGAUUAACCACAAUGAAAAGGUUCCUAAUACACUGUGUUGGUGAGAAUGUUGGGAAAUGAGCACUUUCAUUUUUAAUUUUUCUCCUACUAGAGAGAGUGAACACUGGAACUCUCUCUUUGGAACAAUAAAUUCUUAUAACCUCAGGCCUCUGGGAUGAUGAGGGGAUGUUGGGUGGGAGGGAGUCACUUGCCUCUGGCCAUGUGAAGCCAUUGUGACCUUUCCCCUCAAUGUAUAUCUUGGGAAUUAAUAAAUGUCUUUACCAUUUAAACCAAAUGGCGGGACUCCUGGUGGCUCUGUCAGUUUAGUGGCCAACUCUUGGUUUUGGCUCAGGUCAUGAUCUCAGGGUCCUGGCAUCCAGCCCAGCAUCAGACUUCAUCCUCAGUGGGGAGUCUGCUUCAGGAUUCUCUCUCCCUCUGCCCUUCCCCCACUACUCUCUCUCACUGAAAUAAAGAAACCUUUUUAAAAAAGUAAUAAAUCAAAUGGAGUUGGUCUUCUGUUACAGCCUGAAGGACCUUAAGUGAUAUCUGAGCACAUUACCUCAUUUUUAUUUCCUUGAUCAGUAAGCUGAAAGGGGUAGGGCACAUGUAACUGUGUGUGUGUGUGUGUGUGUGUGUGUGUGUGUGUGUGUGGUAUGUGUGUUUUUAAAAACCUCUAAUCUCCUUG